GGUCUUUGUCCCUGCUCAAUUACCCCUGAGACAAGUCAUUCAAGGCCCACCUGAAAACCCAAAACCCUUUAUGGUCUAUGUUCCUUUUUCCACCAGCGACCUGUACAAUUGGAAAAAUCAAAACCCCUCUUUCUCUCAAAACCCACAAGGACUAAUCUCUUUGUUAGAAUCCGUUUUCUUUACCCAUCAGCCCACAUGGGACAACUGUCAACAACUUCUGCAGACCCUUUUUACAUCAGAGGAGAGAGAAAGGAUCUGUGCCCACGGACGAAAAUUAGUCAUGGGGUCAGACGGUCUGCCGACCACGGAAGUAGACCACCUCGAGGCUGCUUUUCCCUUCUCCCGACCCCGGUUGGACCCUAACACUGACCAAGGUUGCAAAAGAGUCCUUACAGGCUUUACACUACAGCUCCAAAAACAUCCAUCACGUCGUCAGCACCCACCAUCCGAACCCUGACACCGCGGAAGAAGAAACCCCUCCUGCUGAACCUGGUGAUUUAAUGUGGAUCAGAAAAAGGAAUCCCUCCUCCCUCGAGGCACGCUGGGCUGGGCCUUAUCAGGUGACUCUAAGUACACUGACUGCCGUGAAAGUCACAAGUAAAAGAUUUUGGAUACAUCGCUCACAAAUUAAAAAGGCAGACUCCGACCAGAACGCAGAAUGGUCCAUACAAAAAACAUCAGAUCCCCUAAAACUUCGGCUGCAGCGACGUACGCCAUUAUGCUGACUCUAGUAACAAUGCUAGCCGCAGAGAACCCCCAUCAAGCCACUAAUUAUACGUGGCAGUUAACUCGCACCAUUUGAUGGAACAGUGGUCAGCCAGAUUAGCACCCCUGGCAGCCCUAAAUUUGUUUUUGACCUAUGUAAACUCUUUGGGAGACUCUGGAAUCUACCAGAAGCUGUAAAUACCUAUUUGAGAUGGGGAAAGGUAGAGCUUAGGGGCUUCGGUUGUGGUAAAUUAGAACUGGAACGAGGGCUAUGGCAUAGUCAACAUUACAUCUGUCUGCAAAGAAGUGCCUCGAAGUCUGGGGGAGAGGAUGAUUAUUUCUGUUAUAGUUGGGGCUGUGAAACCAUAGCCCCAUGGAAAAAUGUAGAUCAUUUAUUAAAGGUCACCAGGAAGAUAAGGCCAGAAGCUCCUAUUAAAAAUUGUGUGAUUGGGAACUGUAACCCUGUUACUGUUGAACCGCAGCAGCAUUGGGAAGAUUCCCAGUGGUUGGGGGAAAAACGUGGGGAUUGCGCCUAUAUGUGUCAGGAUAUGACCCCGGAGUGUUAGUCACUAUUCA